UACGAAGGGGGCUAGCGUUGCUCGGAAUCACUGGGCGUAAAGGGUGCGUAGGCGGGUCUUUUAAGUCAGGGGUGAAAUCCUGGAGCUCAACUCCAGAACUGCCUUUGAUACUGAGGAUCUUGAGUUCGGGAGAGGUGAGUGGAACUGUGAGUGUAGAGGUGAAAUGCGCAGAUAUCAGGAAGAACACCCGUGGCGAAAGCGGCUCUCUGGGACGGUACUGACGCUGAGACGCGAAAGCGUGGGGAGCGAACAGG
rnacentral:rRNA from 1 species